rnacentral:rRNA from 1 species
UGGGGAAUAUUGGACAAUGGGGGCAACCCUGAUCCAGCCAUGCCGCGUGGGUGAAGAAGGCCUUAGGGUUGUAAAACCCUUUCAGCGGGGAAGAUGAUGACGGUACCCGCAGAAGAAGCCCCGGCUAACUCCGUGCCAGCAGCCGCGGUAAUACGGAGGGGGCUAGCGUUGUUCGGAAUUACUGGGCGUAAGGGGCGCGUAGGCGGGGUAUCAAGUUAGGGGUGAAAGCCCGGGGCUCAACCUCGGAACUGCCUUUAAAACUGAUACUCUAGAGUCCGGAAGAGGGUCGCGGAAUUCCCAGUGUAGAGGUGAAAUUCGUAGAUAUUGGGAAGAACACCGGUGGCGAAGGCGGCGACCUGGUCCGGUACUGACGCUGAGGCGCGUAAGCGUGGGGAGCAAACAGGAUUAGAUACCCCGGUAGUCC